ensembl:lncRNA
AAACUUGGAAUCCUUGACAGUGAACACCUGGCUUCUCAUUACUACCUGAAUUUUAUACUUCCAAGUGUUAAUCUCUCCUCAGGGUUUGCCUUGGAGUUUCAUUCUGGUAUUCAAUGAAACCAUCAGGUUUUCCAGGCACUGACACCUUUGAAAUGUUUUCCACAUGGGAACCAAUAUGAAACAUGUGUGAUUAUUACUGAUUUCGCUGUGUUGAUUUCUAUUAUGGUAGCACCCUGGAAAAAUAGUACAGACAGCAGUAAUAAAAUCUUUCAUUGAAUAACUUCAUACAGCAGGAAGAGCUGUGUUUAAAGGGGCUGGCUUGAUGUGAAGAAGGGAUGGGCAUUGCUAUGAUGAAUGGUGUUGUCAUGAUUAUAACUUGGUUUAAAGGACUCUAAGAAUUUGUGCGUUUUUUAGCCUUGGGAGUAAGUUCUACCAGCACUUCUUUCCUCUUAAAAGCCAUCACUGCUGCCACUCCUCAUAGCUCUAGAUGAAAUACAUGGGCUAGCUGGAACCUGGGAGCAUGCUGAUUGUGAACUCCCAGCUAACAGGGCUACAGUUCAGGCAGAUUACUGUAAUUUCCUUUACUUUACUGAGUGCAGAGUUUUCUUCCCAACCUUUACCAGCCUUAUGAGCAGGAAAAUCUUCUCCUUCCCACAAGACAAAAUGUGUUGGUAACUUUGUACUUUUUACUCCAGACGUUGGAAAACCCAGGCAAAAAGGAUAUCUCUGGGGCUUUUCUUCUGUUAAUCAAAAGGAUUUACUAUCAUGUACCUUAAUAAGAGUUGUUUAAAUCACUCCAGGCCCAAAGAUCUUAUUGACUACUGCAAGGCAAUAGAGGUAAUAAGAAGUCAAAAUCCUCUGAAAGAAAAACACCAAAGUAAGAAUUUCCAUGGAGCUGAAACUCACCCAGAAACAUGAAAACAAAUUAUUUUUAAACAACAGUACAUUUGGGUUUGGAAAGCACCAGGUGCCAAUGAGAAGAAAAACACACAGGUUGUCUUUCCUUGAUCAAGUCCAAGCCCUGAAGCACUUGACAAUUUUUAAAGUUUUCAGUGAAGUCAGGAAGAGCAGACUUACUGCAGGAUUAAGUAGCAUGCUCAGUGAAAGAAAAUAUGUAAAACUUGUUUGGGAUCUGAAGUGGAAAGGAAAAAAAAAAAAAGGAAGCAAAGCAAUGGGAGAUUUUUGUGACUGAUCUAAGCCUGAGCAUCUGAAUUAGUAGUAUCUAACUGAUAAAAGAACAGUUGUCAUGGAAUCCCAGAAGAAAAGUACUGAAGAAAACUGAGAAACCUCAAGUUAACCUAUGGUGAGCUUUAUACAUGAAAUGAAGAAUGCAAAAUGUAAUCAAAACAUCGAAAACUCAAAAGUCCUGAUCAAAGUAGUCUUUGUCUUGAAGUUCAGUAACAAAAAAUGGGAAACACCUUUGAACUACAGGGUUCAACUCAAUGUAUAAUGUGUCAAAGAUGCUAAAGAUGAGCAUCAAAUAUAGUCCAGUAGAACAAGAGAAUUUGUUCUUCACAGGAGACACAGGAAAUUUCAUGUCCCUAUUUCCCAGAACUUAGUUUCAUUUAAAAGCAGCAGGAGUUCAGUUCUUACCACUGACAAAGGACAUCUGAAAUUUUUUUCCCUGGAAAAAACCAUUUUCUUUCUUUAGUUGCACAAUUAUUGGAGAUUUGGGUACAGGCCUGGGACACACUGCUGCAUAUACUUUGAAGGAGACUACAUAAGCUUGUUAUCAGAACUGGAAUGCAAGCAUAUUUCCCCAGACCUUUUGUGAGGUCCAAGAUGCAUGGCAUUUCCCAAAUUCCUUGGGGAUAUCCCAUAAUCUUACCAGUCUCCUGGUUGCUUGUGGAGUAGCUACAGAGUACUGACUCCUACUCAGCUGAGCUCAGGAAGUUGAGAAAAUAAGGAGGUUGAAAAAAUGUGUUCAUAAACAUAUUCUUCA